rnacentral:rRNA from 1 species
UACGGGGGGGGCAAGCGUUGUUCGGAAUUACUGGGCGUAAAGGGCUCGUAGGCGGCCAACUAAGUCAGACGUGAAAUCCCUCGGCUUAACCGGGGAACUGCGUCUGAUACUGGUUGGCUUGAAUCCGGGAGAGGGAUGUGGAAUUCCAGGUGUAGCGGUGAAAUGCGUAGAUAUCGAGAGGAACACCUGCGGCGAAGGCGGGUUGCUGGGCUGACACUGACGCUGAAGCGCGAAAGCUAGGGGAGCGAACGGG